GUAGUUCACUUCACAUGAAUAGAGCUUGAAGGACUGGAAGCUACUCUGGCAGACAACGGUUCGCCACAGAGAGCCCACCGAGACGAAAGGGCAUCAGGAGCCGUGUCUCCUGGACGUUGCCUUCCACUCCCUGUGCUUCCUCUCAUCCAGCUUUUCCUCCCUGCUUCAUGUCUCCUCAGUCGUUUCUAUUCCUCUAUCUGCCGCCAAAGGGCGGAGAUGCCUUCAGGUCGUGUGUAGAAACCCCAGACGGGUUUAGUGAACCUGAGAGCACAGGGUGUGCCUGAAUCCUGAGGAGAUUCCAGGAAAGCCGCAGCGCCCCGUGACCCCGCGCGGCCCAGGAAUCAGCGAGCGGAGCGUCUUUUUCGUUUGUCUCAGCUGUCAGGUGCCAGAUUGACAGAGACCCGUACCUGACGGCCUGAGAACCCUAGAGGGCCAGGGAAGUCGUCACGUACUUCAGCUUGCCAGAGAGGGAUGGAGAAGCCGCUGACGGAGGCCUGUGACCAUCAAGCGGGCGUGUGGCCAGAAGAGAGGGUUCCUCUGGGAACUGGCAGCUGAGACCAAACAAAAUGGCGGACACCCCCACAGACGCCCCUGUGCGGAGGAGAGGAUCGCCAAGGGUGAGAAACCUCCCCCCACCUCACACACGUGGCGCCAGGAGGGCCGCCAAGAAUCUGACUUGACUCUGGACAAAGAGGGUGCUUAAAUGGCCAGAGGAGACUCUGAAUAUUAUUAAUAUGUGAGUUUUCACUACUUGAUGGAAAAAUCCACAAAAAAAAUGACAUUCAGCUAUAAAAGAAGUAAAUUGGCCACUUCACCCAUGAAAUUUGUCUGGGAAUCUUUAUCUGCUCUACCCGCAAAGGCUCUGCUUCCGCCUUGUCUCUCUCUCCCUCUCCCUCCCUCCCUCCCUCCCUCUCUCUCUCUCUCUCUCUCUCUCUCUCUCACCCCACUCCACCAAAGCAGAAGGGAAAUACAGACAGUCGGAUGAGAUGCAUAGAAGAUCAUCCUGUCAAAUAAAGGCAAUUUUCAGCGAUGGAAAAAGGAAUAUUUUUAUGAUCAUUAUUGUAGGUAUGUUUUUGUAUCGUAUUCAAAAGCGUAUCUUGGCUACAAUAAUUAAUGUAACAUCAUUAGGAAAAGAAAACCUCAACAUGCCUCCUCUUCCUUUCUUUACUCACAGAAUAAUGGAAUAAAAAUGUCUGUGAAUAAACUCAUUCUUUUGCCAAUGAUAAGAAAGCAUUUUCUUAAGAAAAAUUAGAAUCCUCUAUUUUCCAUUCCUGCUAAUUAUUUGAAUUUAACUCUUGGGUCUGCUAUCUAAACAAGUCUACUAGGAUGUACUGAAGACAAAUAUAAGGAUUUAACAAAAAAUAUCAUUAGUUAAUCUAAUUCCAAAGAGCAGAACUUUCUUGGAGAAAUUAACAGUGAAAGGAAUAUUCUAUCAAAGGUAUUUUUAAUUUUAAAAUGCUGAAGUCAAAAGACUGAUUAUCUCAUAAAAGGAAAUAAAGAAUCAUCAGUAGCUUUACUGACUGCUUUUUCUUAAGUUUUAUUAUUGUUUCAAAGAACUUUUUUACACGUUAUCAGAAUUUGAGAGAAAAUAUUGAUUUAUUAUCUUGACCCAUUCAAGCUAAAAAUAUAUUACUGAAACUAUUUUAAUCAAAUGUUUGCAAAUUAUAUAUUGCUUGAAUUUUCAAAAGACAUUCGCUUUAAUAAAUAUUGAUUUUUAACAAAAACAUUUUAUUUCUUGAAAGUUGACAGAUACUUUUCGUUUCUUUUCUUAAAGACAAUUAAAUACAACAAGCUUUGUGGAAAGAAAACAUUGGCAAAAUUCAGUUAACUAUAAAUAUAGCCAACCUCCUGAAAGGAAUAUUAUGAAGACUAACAAAGUCAGAAACAAGCAAAUGCACAGUGGUUAUUAUUCCAGUCCAAAUUAUGAUUACAAUUGUGUACAAUUUCCUAGUCAAAACCAAUUUCUUAUUUGUUCCCAAUUCCGGAUAGAAACCUUAAAGUAAAUUACAAGUAUGAGCUAAGUUUUCUUUGCCAGUAGUGUUUGGCAAACAAUCGCCUUGUGAUCACUGUAGAUGAUCAAUUUAAUUAGAUGUCAGAAUCAAUGAACCACAGGCGAGUGAGGUGAAUUGCAACCAUGAAGUCUAACCCUUUUUCCAAGGCAAAGAUACACUGAAUUUGAGGUGUUUAUUGUUUUAGCUUUCCAUGAUUUAAGACUAUCAUCAGAAGGCAUAGCCUUCUCUCUUUAGAAUCUACAGUUCUGCAGUGCCUACAAAUUGUAAAUGACAUGUGAAGCUUUCACAAAUUUGCUCUGAGUUAUUAGGUAUAUAAUCCAAGCCCAUGUGGAACUUUCCCUUAUGGAACUCCUCAGGGCUGAGCGCUCCCCACAUAUUUGCCAGCAUGACUGAACUGGGGUUGUACAGAGAAGUGAGGGCCUAGAAAUGUAAUGGAUGGACUUUAGCCACAACCUGUCUGAUAUGAGCACACAAUUCCAGAGUCGGUAAGUCAGGCUGAUUAAUGGAAGUGAGCAGCUCAGAAUAAGUGGCAGUUCAAAGACAAUAAAUCUCGCAGUGUAGCCAAGCUCUAGCCCAUUCUUUUUUUUUCAUGGAGUCUCUCGCUCUGUUACCCAGGCUGGAGUGCAGUGGCGCGAUCUUGGCUCACUGCAACUUUUCGCCUCCCGGGUUCAAGUGAUUCUCCUGCCUCAGCCUCCCGGGUAGCUGGGACUACAGAUGCACACCACCAUGCCCGGCUAAUUUUUUGUAUUUUUAGUAAAGACAGCAUUUCGCCUUGUUAGCCAGGAUGGUCUCCAUCUCCUGACCUCGUGAUCCACCCGCCUCGGCCUCCCAAAGUGUCAGCAUUACAGGUGUGAGCCACCGCGCCUGGCCUUAGCCCACUCUUUUGAAGAUGACAGGGAAGCAAAUAUGUGGCACAGUGAAGACUGUGAGAAAUAGAACUGUCUCAGACAAGUGUGCAUACUCCAAAUACAAGUACAGAAAACAUCCAAGACUACUAACAGAAAUCAGGAAAAAUAUCAAAUCAGAACAUGGAACACUGCAACUUCUCAUUUUAGAAAAAGACAAUGUAGUUAUUUGAAGUAAAAACACUUCCAAAUUUUCAAUGUAUUGUUUUAAAACAUGAAUGCACUGAAGACAAAUAUAAGGAUUUAACAAAAAAUCUCAAUCUGAUUCCAGAGAGCUGAACUUUCUUGGAGAAAUUAACAAUUGAAAGAAUAUUCUAUCAAAGAUAUGUCUAAUUUUAAAAUGCUGAAGCCCAAAGACAGAUUAUAUCCUAAAAUGAAAUGAGCUAUACUUCUUUUUGUCUUGAGGGAGGAAAAGUUUUUCAGAGAUGAGAAUCUUUUCUGAAAAAUUACUAUGUGUAAUGUUCAAAUAGCACACACACAUGCAUACCUGCUAACUGCUUUUUUGUUGAUCUUGGCUUCUCCAAAUGCUAUGAUGAUAUAAUAAUCCAUAUGGGGAAAGAGGAUCUUCAGUUUCUUUACAUUCUGAACUGGGAUUGAUAGAUUUCAUUUGGCUUCCCCAACACUGAUACUGGGAGAUGCAAACUUUCAGCGGAAGUGAUCUGGUUGAAGGGGCAGAAUGCAACACUCAGCACUAGCUGAAACACGUUAACCGUGUACAAGGCCAGAAGCCUGGGGAUAUUGGAAAGCAGGAAGACCGGAAGUUCGGACUUUGCCAAGCCUGUGGCCCUCUCCCUCUCUUCCCAGACAAUGAUGUAUCCUGUGAUUACUGGGAGUCAUAGAUGGGAGGUUGGUAGGGUCUCCCCUCAGACACAGAGAAUAAA
rnacentral:lncRNA from 1 species